CGUACACUCCUACGGGGGCAGCAGUGGGGAAUUUUGGACAAUGGGCGAAAGCCUGAUCCAGCAAUGCCGCGUGAGUGAAGAAGGCCUUCGGGUUGUAAAGCUCUUUUGUCAGGGAAGAAACGGUGAAAGCUAAUAUCUUUUGCUAAUGACGGUACCUGAAGAAUAAGCACCGGCUAACUACGUGCCAGCAGCCGCGGUAAUACGUAGGGUGCAAGCGUUAAUCGGAAUUACUGGGCGUAAAGCGUGCGCAGGCGGUUUUGUAAGUCUGAUGUGAAAUCCCCGGGCUCAACCUGGGAAUUGCAUUGGAGACUGCAAGGCUAGAAUCUGGCAGAGGGGGGUAGAAUUCCACGUGUAGCAGUGAAAUGCGUAGAUAUGUGGAGGAACACCGAUGGCGAAGGCAGCCCCCUGGGUCAAGAUUGACGCUCAUGCACGAAAGCGUGGGGAGCAAACAGGAUUAGAUACCCCGGUAGUCCCAUGAU
rnacentral:rRNA from 1 species